rnacentral:rRNA from 1 species
GGGCCCGCACAAGCGGUGGAGCAUGUUGCUUAAUUCGACGCAACGCGAAGAACCUUACCAGGCCUUGACAUCCUAGGAACCCUCCCGAAACGGAGGGGUGCCUUCACGGGAGCCUAGAGACAGAUGGUGCAUGGCUGUCGUCAGCUCGUGUCGUGAGAUGUUGGGUUAAGUCCCGCAACGAGCGCAACCCUUGUCGACUGUUGCCAGCGGGUAAUGCCGGGGACUCUGUCGAAACUGCCGGAGCAAUCCGGAGGAAGGCGAGGAUGACGUCAAGUCCGCAUGCCUCUUACGGCCUGGGCUGCAAACAUGCUACAAUGGCUGGUACAGAGGGCUGCGAAGCCGCGAGGCCGAGCAAAUCCCACAAAGCCAGUCUCAGUUCGGAUUGGAGUCUGCAACUCGACUCCAUGAAGGUGGAAUCGCUAGUAACCGUAGAUCAGCAACGCUGCGGUGAAUACGUUCCCGGGCCUU